rnacentral:lncRNA from 1 species
ACUGCCACACCUGGAAUCCGAAGCGGGCUCCGCCGGCUCCCGGCCGAAGCCGCCCCCGCCUGCCGGGGAGGGGAGCGCGUGCGUGGGCGGCGCGUGUGUGUCCAAAGAGGGCUGCGCGGGCGCCAAUUAUGAUUGGGACUGGGGGUGCCGAAAAUCAGGGGUGGGGGGCCUCGAGGAAGGGGUAUGGAAGAGGAAGUGGGAGAGGAGGGCGUGUGUUUGUGUGUGUACGUUAACGUGAGGAUUUAGUGCCCAGGGGAACGUUUCGUGUUUUGUUUUUUGAUUGUAUGUGGGGUUGUGUACAGCGAUGUGUGUGUGUAACUGCGUGUCUCUGAGCGUGCCUGCUGUGGCCGUGUAAGCGGGCAUCUUUGUGAGGGAAAGUAAGCGAGUGUGUGGGGGCGCGUUUGUGGUUUGGGGG